AAGAAAGAAGCUUCCCAAAUUGCUUGGCAUCUCAUCAAGGAAAGCGAAGGAUGAAUUCCAGUGUGAUAGCAUCAGAGGUAUUCAUUAUGUAACCUAAAAUAGAUCUGUGUGGUUUUGCUAAUGACAGGCUCUUUAUUGUUUUUUUUCUGAAGAAAAAAGAUAGAGUAGGUUGUACUAGGAGAUCAUGUGGUUAUGGAGGAAUGUAUUCUGGUACCUGGGGAUAUAUUUGGCAAUGACAUAAAAUAAACUACAUUUCACACUAAGAUAUAUGGCGAAAUGAUGUAUUGGCUAGUUUUGAGUGGCACACAGUUACAGGUAAAGAGCUGUCCGUCAUCAGAUGGGAGGUCGACUUUCCCACCAAGAUUCAAAUAAUCUGGUAAUUGUUAACAUUUUUUGCCUCUUUGAUAGGCAACAUUUGCUAGAUGUCAAGAUUCACUUGGGACUUUGAACUGAUAUCAUAUCUGACAUCUUCCUCUGUGUGCCUUCUUGCCACAUUAGAGGUGAAGAAGACACCACCUAGUAAACUAUUUUAAAGAAUUGUCAUUUAAAGAAUUUCUUCCAGCCUAAGGUAAAAGACCCAAGCACUUUGCCACAGUGGCUGCAUUAUACAGUAUAAUUAAAUGUAGCUGAUAACGUAGGUGUAACACAAUAGCUUUCUAAGUAAUGCCAUUCUUGGAUACCUUUUUAGAACUUUGUAGUUCUUUUCUCUGCUCAAUCCUCAUUCACUAUUUCUGCAGUAACUUUGAAAAAUAAGUUUUUGUUUUCACAGAAUCGUGAGCAUCCCAAGUGGGAAGGGAUCUCAAAACAUCACCCAGUCCAACCUUUUGUGGGAAAGGGAGCCUAGAUGAGAUUAUCUAGCACCCUGCCCAGGCAGUUCUUAAAAACCUCCUGCGAUAGGGCUCUUCCACAUCCCUGUGGAGGUUGUUCCACUGAUUGAGUGUCCUCACUGAGAAAAAUUUUUUUCUUAUACCAAGAUGAACCUUCUCCUGGUGCAACUUCCCCUUUGUCUCCAUGUGUCUCCCUGUGAAGAGAGAGCCUCUGUCCUCUUUCUAGCCACCACUGAAGUACUGGAAAGCUGAUGAGGUGCCCCCUGAACCUCCUCCAGGUUGAAAAGACCUGACUCAUUCAGUUUCCUCAUGUGGCAGGGGAAUUGUCAUUUUCCAGACACAACAUGGGAAAGACCAUAAAUAUGUAAUUUUUUAAAAAAAUCCAAGUUCUGUAAGAAAGAAUUGCAUAAGCAUAUUGCCAAAAAAGAAGCAUUGCUUGUGUCGGUGAUAAGGCACAUCCACCUUGUAUUUCUGUAUGUUUCAGUCUGAUUCUUACAGUAGUUCCAAGUGGAAAAAAAAUUUAAUGCUUUCUCUAGAUGUGCUCAGUACAAGACCAGAAUUCUAAAUCUUAAAAAACCCAAACAAAUCCAAACCCAAACAAAGCCAACUGCCUGGACUGAAUUACUGGAACAGGAACUGGUUUUAGCUUCAGAAUUCAGUGGAGAUCCUGCAGUAACUGGUUCCAUGGGGCUUAAUGCCAUUUGACAUCACGGGUCAAUUUGUCAUACAGUUACAAUACUUUAAAAAAAUGUCUUCAAAGAAGAGCUUGUUUUCAUAGAAAGUACCUGAAAGAGAAAGCUGAGGUUCUAAGAUUAGACUAGAAGCCAACAUCCUACCCUGAGAUAACUCACUGUUAGUUAAACCAGUCAGAACUAAACUAGCAGGGGAUUUAUUUUGGCGUGACUCAAUCAGUAUUUCAAAGUUUAUGGCAGUAACUCAAGCUUGAAGUAGAAAGUAUUAGUAAAGCUUCCAGUUGCUGUUUUCCUAUUGCAUGAGCCAUUAUAACAGUUGAUACAAAUUGAAUAAGUAAAAAAAUGAGCAGUUGUACCUAGUUAAGGGUUUUCAAUGUGGACUUAAGGUCUUUAAAGGCAAUGGUUAAAGAGCACAUAAGGUAUUAAUACAUUUCUCAGAACGUCUAAACGCUUUUACAUUACAGUAUUUGCUCAUUUUCAACAAAUAAUUAAUUUCAGUGAACUAUUUUUGUGCGCUACAUCUGCUUGUGGAUCCUCGUAAUGGGCACUAUAAAAUGCUGCAGUAGUGUUGUGAUCCUGGAUAUGCACACUAUUUGUCACCUGGUGCUGAUGCUGUGUUCUGGCAGCUGUGAUGUACAAUCUCCUGGCUUGCCUUGUUCUGCUGGGCCUGGGGAAAUAGAAGAGAAAAAAUUUCCAGCAUACUCAGUAUAGCUGGCUGUGGGGACAUAGGAUAGAGAGGGAAGCAACCCUCCUGUCAUCCCAGCCUGGAUUUUCUUAGUGUUAACAAUAUACUGUGAUUCGAAAAACACUGUGCUGCUGUUACUGUCUUUUUUUCUCCCCCACUAUCAGUAUUAUGAAAUAUUCAAAAGACAUUAAAGAGUGGACACAAGUGACCUUUUUUGCCUUGUGUGUUCAGUGUGCAGACAUUGUGCACAGCGAAUGCUGUCAUACAGUGUUUUCUGUUAACUUCUUAAGGCAAAAAUGGUGUGCCAAUGAUACACAAGGGCAAAUCUAUAUGGUGCUGGUUAGGAGGAUUCCUUAAGCCAUUUAGGCUUGCUGAAUACACAGUUUGCUCCUGUUUGUCUAGCGAUAGGAUGUUUCAGUCUCAAUCAAUAAAAGCCGGGUUGACAGAGAGUGUGAGUGUGCAUAGAUACACAUUGCCACUAGAUACACGUUUCCAUUAGCUUUGUUGACCUGGAGUAAAAGCAUAGCUUUAGUUAAGCUGUUAUUCAUAUGUAUAGAUAAAUGUUUGCUGAACACUUGCUACUACAUGAAAAACCUUAAGGAUGAAUGUAACAAAUGUAAGGACAAACGUAAUGUCUAUACUUACACUUUUUAUUACAGGAAUGUUUAUGUGUAAAAUACUGGUUUGCUUAUACAUGUACCAGCUGCUCAUUACUUGCCUUUAGUUACAGCCCUUCUCAGGGUGACAAAGAGUGAUGUGAGGUAAAGGGUGAGUAGAGCACAUAGGGACAACUUGAGAAGAUAAUUCUGUUUUCUUAGUAUCUUACAAUUCAAAAAUAAUCGCUAUUUAUGUUUUUGAGGCAAUGGAAUAUUUUAGCUGGUGGAACUCUGCAGGGAAGAUUCUUGGUUUUUGUGCUGUCAACUUUGCUCUUCAAGGACAUCAAGAACACACAAUGCUAUUAAGUAUAUCAUGUUUGGCAUUCCUGAAAUAUGCAUUACUUAUUUGUAUCCACCAUAUUUUUUUCCAAAUAAAACUGGAGGAUCCACACUGUAGCACUUUCUUUGUAAAUAUGUUUGUAAAUCCUUAUCAAUCUGAUAUAAAGAAAAUCCACUAAAAGAAGUGGGGUUUAGAGUUUGAUAUUCUUAACUCUUGAAAGACGUGUUCCAUCCUGUGUUUCCUUGAAAGCUAGAUGUAUAGUAACCGAUAAUCUUGUAAUUCACUUUGCUGAGACCGAGAUGGUUAGUGAGAUAAUUUGCAUCAUUCUGGAAGGAAAGUAUGUAUAGAAAAGAAUCCCACAUCCAAAAUAGCAAAUGUCUAAACACUCUGUUUAUGUUGCACACAGACAUGCCUGGUGCUGCAUGGAAAGCCUACUGUAUUUUGAGGUAUUAGUAUGGAAAAGGAAAUCUCUGACUGUUUAAUCUUUCUUAUUCACACUUAGUUCAGUAGAGACAUGAGCUGGUUGUCUUAACAAUUGUGGACCAACCUUCAUUCAAUUGGAAAAUUAUUUCAGGAUCAUGGGCUUAAAAAUCACUUGAAUAGUUGAAACAGCGAUGAGUAGUUAAUGUCAGUGAAUUAAAGUGAAUGGCCAGUUGAUUCUGAACAUGUAUUAGCAGCUUAAGGAGGAUUUACAUGUUACUGUGUUUUUCCACAGGAGUUAUAAGUGUACUCAGCAUGCUUAUCAGAACUGGGAAACAUGCAGAGUAUCACCCAAAAAUGUAAAAUUCAUCAUGACAAUAAUUGAGUCAAACUGGAAAGGAAAGAUUGAACAGAUUUGUUAUGUGAGUUCACACAGGAUUUGGCUCUUGACCAUGAGUUUGUUAAGAACAUAGGAGGAAAUAAAGUAAAAGUAAAAAAUCUACAGAUGCCACAAAACUUAAAUACUAAGGAACUGCUCAAAGAGAGUAAGAUGAAUUGCAACUUGCAUUUCACUGUGGCCUAAAAUGAACCUGAGUUUCUACUAGCAUGGAGGUUUGAGAACAUACUUAGCAAGUAGAACAAUUUGUGGUAGGAAAUACUGACUUUGAACAGUGUGUGGAGACAAUGUGCAUUCUCAAUUGAACAUGAAUUUUCAGCAUGCCUUGCAGCCAAAAGGGCUGGUGAGAUCCUGAGGUUUAGAAAUGGGAAUACUGUCAGGGAAGUGAUAUUGUUGACUAUUUGACUCUGGUGUAACCUUUUGAAAGAAUGCUAUGCCCAAUUCCAGGAGUCAUAAUUUUCAGUAGUGCUGGGAAGUUGGACAGACAAGGCCAUGAGAGCAAUAGAAGGAUUAAAAAAAAGCACUGGCAUGAAAGUCUCAACAAACAGAAUUUACUUAGUUUAGUGAAAGAAUUAGCCUAGACAAACCAUCUUUGGAGAAAAAAAAAUAUAAUAAGGAACUGUUCCAUCUAGCAGUGAAAGAGUGAUCCAGCAAUUCUAAGUAGAAGUUGGACGUGUUACAAGAAGGGAUAAAGGUACAUAACAGAAUGGUAAAGAUUUCCCUGUCUGGACAUGUUAGAUGAUUUCAUGAAAAAAUGUGAUUUGAUAGAAAGAGGACCAAUUCAGACAAGUCAGAUCCAUGUUACACAACAGGUCAAAUUAAAUAAUCACAAGUCAUAUUUGGCUGCCCCAGGAGUAACUUGUCUGCUGACAGAAUUUCACAGAGGUUUGAGAGCCAGAGAUUGUGAACUCAUUUCAGUUCUGCUGUAGUGUGAUCAGUACACAGAGCAAGUUGUGUGCUAAAUAGGCUACUGGAUACGUUUAGCCUUGUUCUUUCUGUCUCUAGAGAAUUGCAAAUGGUCUACUAAUGCACACUCUGACUUGACUCAUGGCUAUUAGGAUAUGGCUCAUUAGUUUUAAAUUUCAUUAUACAAAAAGUCCUGUGAUGGUUUGGGCUAUAAAUACUUUCAUUAUGAAAAUGAGGUGAACAGACACAGAAGGAAAGUGCCUGUGUAAAUGUCAGCUUUAUUGAAUGUAGCUAACUAUUAUUUAUUUUUCCAAGCUUUUAAAAGUUAGAGAUCUUUUAAGGUUUAUUAGAUGCUCUUGGACCCCUUCUUUCCAUUCUUGUUUACCUGACAUUUCUCUGUGCUUUCACAAGCAAGUUGCAAUACAAUGGCUAUUUUCAAUUCAUUUUCAGCUCAUAACAGGAUCUAUAUAAGACAAAAUGAAAAAUCCAGUGUUUCCUUAUUUGUAGUUAAACUCAACCUUUUAUAUGCCAACCAAAGAUGCCCUAUAAAGCUUAGAGAAGUUAAAGUGUGCUCAUAGGGUUCUGCUCUAGCAACAUAUUAUGAUAAAAAUGUAUUUUCUGUAAAUUUUAGAAUAAUUCACUAAAUUAUAUCUAAAUAGAGUAAGCAUUUAGUGGACUUUUUUACUAAGUACAUGUGGCAAUCUGAUUCUGUUUAAAAUGCUAAUAAAUGCAUCCCAUCUCUAAUGAAACUAGUGCUCCCUGCAUAAUUAAUUAGCAUUUAAUACAGAUGAGGACAGGAAAGCCAUAUUCACAGUCAUUUUUAACCAGAAUAGUUAAUAAAAGAAUUAUUCACAGUUCUGAAAGGUCACACGUGAAUAGCUCAUUUCUGCAAAACGGAUAUUUUUUUGCAAGUAAAAAUUUUAGUGAAGUUUACCUGGAAUCGUUGGUCCAUACAGCUUUUAUCCACAAGGUGGCAUUCCUAACAGGAGUUUACAAGACAUGGUAAUUUCUUGCAGUUUUUGAAGCGCUCUAAGUGAAAGGCAGUCAUAAGCAUUUGUAAUGUUAUAUGAGAUUUUUAUGUUUUAAUUUUUAUAAAAUGCAAUUAACAGUAAGUCAGAAACAUUAAUGAUAAUUAGUUUAAUACUGAUUGAUAUGUGGAGUACCCAGAAAUAUGUGAUGGUUCCAGGUCAGCAAAACAGCAUAUUAAUUCAUGGCAUUAUAUGCUACUAUGGACACUUUCCAAUGGUAAAUCCGGAAUCAAUUUUGCUUUAAUAAAAGAAUAUAAAAUAAUAAAAAAAUCAAUUAUUUAAAUCAAGAGCACAAAUAAUAUCAUGAUCUUAUAUGCAAAACCCCAGUGUUUGGGGUUUUGGUUAUGAUGCAGCUUUUAGUGGAUGCUGGGUUAAAGAAGAACCCAUAACAGUAUUCACAGGGGAGGAUUUUUCAUAGCUUAAUGUUACAAUGACCAAGAAGGGUAUUUUCAGAUGCCUGUCAUCCAGGUUGGUCACUGAGCCCACAGGCAGCCCUGCUUUCUUUCAGGCUUUAUAUCUUUUUCACUUUCCUGUAAUCUUUGCAUGCUAUAUAUAUGUAUAAAAAGAAUACAUUGCUCGUUAUUCAUUUUAUACAAGCAUGAAGGGAGUAUAAUACAACCUGCUAAACCAAUACAAGUGUACUAGGUUUUAUAUAACAGAGACAUGCAUAUUAUGCUUUUCUCUCCCAUGGGUAAGGUUCUGAUCUUACUUUUGCUUCUUUUGCUGACUCUGUAAGAUCAGACCUGAGCUAAGUAAUCAUUUCUGUUUCCCUUUUAGCUAGUGCCCUAGUUGCAUUUUGUUUGGAAAAAAAGCUAUAACCUUAAGUUUAUGCUUAAACUGGAAUCCAGUGUAAACUGUGCAUUUAUUUUUUUUUCAAGUCUAUUUCAAGUCAACAGAAAGGAAUACGGUAGAGUAGUUGUUUAUUUGUUUGUUUGCCUUAUUGUUUUGUGGUAGCAAAAAUUCUAUGGUGUCUUUUCUAAUGCAUGUGUACAUUUCCUGUUAAUCCUUCUGCUCCACGUGCCGCCCCCCACUGAUACCAGAGCCCUCUGGUUUUGCUUCCUAUCAUUUAACACAGCUGAGAGGUUGGAGUAGCAGCUACAUCCACUGCUGACACUAAUGACAGUCUUUGCUGAGAGACAGGGUACUACUUUGACAUUAAGCAGAUAUUCUUUUUCCUAACAUGCUGUUAUACCUCUCUCAUUUCUCAAAGAUGGCUAUGAAAAGUGGAAUAUGAAUUCUUGUUCACUGAAAACAACUGUCAGUCAAAAAACCCCGACUUUCAGAAUGAUUGGGCAGGUAGAACUUACCUGCUGGAUGAAUCUGGCACAAGGACUGCAGAGACAAACCUGAGUUAUUAUUGUCUCAUGAUGACUACCAGUAAAAUUUGAGGGCCUGAACAUCUCCUAUAUACCGCAAAUUUUAAAGAAAUGUGGUGACAAUGUCUAUUUCAAGGGUGUGGAAAUGGCUGGACAAAGAAAGUUAUACAUAAUAAUUAGGAAAUGUUGAUGAGGAAGUAAAUAAUUUGUGGCUGUUACCUUUCAAGUUACACAUUGAAUUUUCUUUGUAGUACUUAGAUAUAGGAUUAGGUGAGUAGAUGGGGACAAGGUUCCUCUGAGAAGGGCAACAAGCCUCUCCUAGGGAGGAGGUUUAAAAAUAGGGAAAACAAAUGUACUGAGGAAAGGAACAUUCUCUGCUUUGAUGACUGCCAUGUAGAAAGGGCUUGUAGUGAAGGAUAGUCUGUAAACAGAACUAUACACAGCUAAACAAGUGAACAGGUCAGUCAAGGUAAUGGCAGGGUUCAGGGUCCCCCAAAAAGCCGUAAUGUGUAGGGUGCGAUGGACACCACCAGUAGAAAUCAGUGGUCUUGAGCAUUGCUGAUGUUGCUUCUGAGACAUCUCAUGAUGUUGGAUCAGAUGGAUAAGUACUCCAGCUCCCAGAAAUGCGGGAAGGAGAUUGCACUGAAUUUGUCCUUUUGCCUGAGUUAUAUGACAGCAACUAAGAGUUCAUAUAACCAAGAGCUUGCAGGUAACACUGUCAGAAAAAAAGUCCAUACUGACUGCAGACAAAUAAUAGUCCUGAUACUUUAUGAUGGAUCUGCAAAUUACUUUGUUAGUACAAAGCACGUCAGGGGCUAAUUUGAUGCGGUUUAUUGUUUGCAAGAGGUGGAUUAUAAAUGUUGGGAAUUGCAUCUUAUGUAACUGCUGCUGGGUAGGCAUAGGUAUGAGUAAGUGUGAACUGGGAAAGGAAAAUGAUACUGGGAACUGUAACCAUAAGUAUUAUCGCUUCCCAUAUGUAACAAACUUGUGCCUAGGGCAAGGAAGCACAAUUACUGACAGAAGCUGUGUUUGUUCAUGCAAGUGAUUUUAUUGCUCUAAGUGAUUUAUCACUGUGGAUUAUGUUUUUUGAUGAAAGACUUUUCUGGAAUAAUUGUACUCAAAAGGAAAUGAGUUGUUUACCUUCAAUAGACAACCAGGUCUGUCCAUUGAAAAUAAGUUACAUUUUUAAAGUACUUUUAUAAGGGUUUUUAAUUGGUGGGAUACAACGGGCCAUUAUGCAAUAUGGGGGUUUGCUUCCCCAAGUUAGUAACAUAAUCUCUUUCUCUCUCUCUCUUUCACUUCCUCGGUCUCAGAAAUCUAGAACUACACAUUUUAGAAAAUCAUCAGAUACUUAAAUAUUUCAUACACUUCCAAAUUAUAUUUCACUUCAUCUAUUAUCAAAAGAAUAUGCUGGAUUCUCUGAAUUUAUAUUAGGUGCUGAAGAUACAUUGAUGAUUACUGAAAAACAGUCCUCAUUUCCUUUACAAAAAGAUGUUACAUUUUCAAAUUGCGCAGCACCUGAAUUGCCGGAGUCUCUGUUCCUUGUGCUCCUGGAUCACUGAUGGUAAAGCUCUUACUUUCUUAUGCAUUUAUACUGUUGUGAAAAGAAAUAGUUAUAAGUACAGGUACCUUCCUUCUCAGAGGCAUCUGAAUGCAAAACAGACACAGUUAUCCACUAUGGUACUUUGGCCUGACAUGGGAAUUACUUUACUAAAGGCAAAUCAAACCUAAUACCCAGUCAACCCCUGUUCAAAUGCAGAGUGGCAAAGCUGAGCCGGAAGAUACCAAGUGAAAAGUGAACUUUCCAAUGCUGUAUAAAAGCCAGUUGAAAACUACUUCACAAACUACUAAGAUCUCUGUAGUGCCCAAUACCACAAAUUGUUACUCAUUUCCGCAAGGCACAGCUGACAGCUGACGGGGGAAAUGAAGAAAUAUAAAUUACUUUUCUUUUUAAAACUGUCCAAAAUAACAUUUGCCUUCUGUGAGCACUUAGCUACUUGUGCUAAGCCUUGGGGUGAAGAGUGAGUCUUCCACCUCCCAAAGUGGUGGCUCUUUCAUGAGUUCCGGGGCAGCAGAAGAAUCAUCUUCAGUGAUGAGAUUUUUUUCCUUGUAUUAAUGCAUGAUCUGUUUCAUAAAUCAAAUUACAUAUAAAUGAAACAGCUUAAAAGUAACUGUGCAGCUGAGCAACUGAUGAGUUAUUGUGCCUUAUGGCUGCUGUGGCUGUGUGGGUAAGCACGAAAAAGACAAAAAUUGGUCUCUUUAACCUCCAGUGUCCCUUCUAUCUCCCCUAUGAGUUUCCUGUCACUUUAAUUUAGGAUGUAUUUUGAUCAACUUAUGAAAUCAAUUAUAUGAUACAUUUGUCUCCAAUUCCCCAGAAACAAUUAUCUAGUCCUGUGUUCCUAAAUUCCCUCCUGUACGCUGCCUUACUAUGUUGGUUUUUUUUUGAUAGCUGUAAUAGAUGUUGUUAGUGACGAUGCUGUUUGUAGAUCUGGUUUUAGAGGUUAGACAGAAGAAUUAAGCAACAUUUGGAGUGUCAUUGAGACCACCUUGGUAAUUUUUUUUGGUUUGUAAAGCAGAUGUCUCUAUAAUGCACUCAAAUUCUUCACCGUCACCCAUUGUCAUAAAGUCAUUUUAGCAUAACUAUUUUUUAAUUCUCUAAGCCUUUUCAAGGAAUAAUUUAAAGUAAGUCUUUGUUGGAUAAAUUUAACUCUAUGUUACAACUCAAAAUACCAGAAUCAUAAAAUUUAGAAAAAAUAUUCUUGUAAUAAGCAUUUUGUAAUUAAUUUAAUUGGGUUUCUUCCAGGCUGAUACUUGGACUACAAAUCGAGAGUUUUAUUUCCCUUUUGGCCUCAGGUGGUUAAGCAAGCAGAAGGACAUUGGACAAAAGGGACUACCUGGACAAUUUAAGCUGCACUGCAAGUAUACAUUGGUUCCAUCCAUUUUAAUUUGGGGGGAGUUUGUGGUUGGUUGGGUUUGUUAUUUGUUGAUUGUUUUAUUUGUGUUUUUUUCAAUAAAUUAAGAUGCAAACAUAAAAUGGUUGGCAGUUUAGCUGUCCUUGAAAUGUCAGGUCUGAGAACCAUAUUUGGAAUGAGAUUUAUCCAUUUUGGCAUAUAGUGAAAGUUACAGUGAGAAAUUAUUUUAGUGCCAGGUCUCCAAAGCUACAAAGUGUGAACUAGAUAUAGACAAAAGGUGGAAAAAUGUAUCCCAUGAACUAACCAGCCCCUUGAUUAAAUCACUCAGGAACCUGUACAAGUAGGAUUUCAUACAGAAGGAAGAGAUGAAGGUGCACAGGAAAAAAGACUUUCUAGUCACACUGUGAGCUCCUGCUUUGUAGCAGCUGCUGCUGCCCAAACUCCUCUAAGAAAACCAGUCUCUGCUGUAAGCUGAUGGCAGAAAUGUUGUUGCAUGGUGUACAGUAGCAUUUACUAAACAGGCAAGAGAUACAUUUUGGAAAGAGACUCUCAGCAGUCUAUCAACUGGAAAAUAAAUUAUCUUUUUCUGCAGCCCACUCCAUUAUACCCCACUGCCCUUAGUUGCCUCCUCUGAACUUGGAUUCACUACAUUUCCAGGCACAUCUGGGCUUAGAGAACAUAUUAUGUAGCACAAGGGAGAGCAGGUGGUCCUGUGCAGCCCUGUUUGUGUUCAGCCUAAUCUGAGAGAUUGGCUUUUGGAGGAGGGGCAGAGAUCUGGGGGCAUAUAUGCAAUUCAUCAUCACUGUUUCCAGCUGAAUGUGAGAAACUGCUACACCUGCUGCUCUGCUUCUGAUGGGCUUUGAAAUAUAGGCAGGCUGAAGGACGUGUGAGUUUUUCUUUCAUGAUAACAAAAAUAAGCACUUUGUUCUGGUAUCUGUAAAGUUAAGGCAGUUUCCUACAAGCAGCGAUAAUUCAAGAGCAGUUUCUGGCUUGUGAUUGACACAUGAAAAGGAAGAGUAUUUUUGGAAACACUGGCUGAUUUUAUUAUUAAAAAAAAAGGAAAGAAAAUCACUGCUAAUUUUCAGUUUGCUGAGUCUUUUAAUACAUAAUUUCCAACUGAAACACAUUGAAUUAUCAGACGGAAGAGAAGUAAUUCAUUGCUGUGAGAUAAAACCAUCAGUAUAAAGUAACUGCUAGAAAUCUUCAUCGUGCCCUAGGAAGGCAUCCAGGUGCUUCUAUGCCACAAGAAGUUUAAACAAUGUUCAGCUGUGAACUAGGACCCAGAAUAAGGAUGCAAAGCAAAUGCCUGUUGACAUAUACAACCUGUCCCAGGGGAAUGAGAGUGCAUUAGACGACUGGGAAGAUCCCUAAAACCAAACUGCAGGUAUGGGUGCCCUGAUGGGAAGCAGACCAAACAUACAGUAGCUUGGAGGCUGUGUUGGAAGAUACAAGCUGUAAAUGCACUUUCUGUGUUUGCCAGACACUUUUAGAGAAAACUGGGAAGAUUCAGUCCCAACUCAUGAAAGAUUUUUGCAAAUCUGCAGAUGCCAAGCCUGAGUUUGAGGUCCAGGAGAGGCCAAGUGCCACCUGUGUGGUUGCUGCUGCAGCAGUACUAAUGCAUCCUCCCCGGUGCAGAAAUUGGGGAAUUUUGCUGCCCUGCUGUGGGGAGCAGGUGGGUUCGUGCAGGGUAAGUGCAGAACUACUGGUGCUGGCUGCCCCAUCCCAUCCUGACCUCCUUCACCCUCUCCCCUUGCUGCAGUACCACAGCUGCCUCGACCACUGUCCUUCCCUGCAGUGAGUAGUUCACCUGCACUACCAAGAGCCCUUAGGCUAAUUUGGGGAUUUAGGGAAGGCAAUAAGAGGUAUACUAACAGUGCAUAUAGAUAAAGUAAUACUUGAUUUUUGAAAAAAAUUUGAAAUACAGUUUUCAAACGGUGUUUAAAAAUGGAUUCCAAGAAGAAUCUGAACUUCCCUUGUAAAUAAUCAAAAUUAUAAGUUAUCCACUGGAAAUACAAUCUGUAGCUUCAUUGAAGUUCAUUUAUUUAAGCAGGCUGUGAAUUAUUCUGGUUUUUUUCAUCACCUGACUAUCUGGCUGACUCUGUGUAAUAUUAGCGUCUGCAUCUGUAUAAUGGAAGUAAUAGUACUAUGCAUCUUUGAAGACAACCCUGGAAUUUCAGAAUAAAGAGUUUAUUUAAGUGCUGGAUUUUACUUUGUGGAAACUCUGCAACCUGAUUCAUUUCAAGUGAAUCUCGAAAGUGUUGUGGAGUCCAGUGGGAGCAAGAUUGGAUUACUGCAAAAUGCAGGCUUGAAAUCAAUUAUAUAUUUAUUACCUUUAAAACAAUUAUCCAUUACAUUCCCUCUUAACCUUUUCAUUAUUGUUUUACACAGGGUAAAAGAGCUACUCCAAGAAGUGACUCUGUCCAAAUGUGAACAUGAACAGAACAUCGUGCUUUCCAAAGCAAUUACAAUUCUCAUUCACUCUUUCCAUCUCCCUCAUGCUUGCUGUGUGUAAUGAAGCUGAAAGACAACAAGGGACAUGGUCACUGGAGAUACUUGUCAAGCCUGUGACUGAAGCUACUGAAGUUCUCUACUGAUAUGCCACGUGAAAGCUUGGGUAAAGAAGUGCUACACUUCCAAAGUCAAACAUUCAGUUACUAGGAAAUAACCAAGUCAUAUCUUCCAAGGCAGCCUUAGCUCAAUUUUCCUAUUUAUGCACGUUAUAAUAUAGUAUUUAAUUAUGUCACCACAGAUAAGUUAUUCCUGAAAUUUCCUCCUAAUAACUUCUCUGAGCAUUUGUGUAUCUAUGUAGCUCUUAGAGCUGGGCCUUUAUUUCUCCCAGAAAGCACUGUAUUAGAACCCAGCAGAGAGAGAUUUGAUCUAAACUCUUGAUUUCCUAAAGUCUCAGAGGCAAAGUCAACCUGGCAUGACAGCCCUUAGUGAGGAGAGCUGGGGGCUUGGCCCACAAAGUACAAAGUGGAGCUAUGUGUCUGUCCGUCCCAUCCGCUUCUCCCUUACAUUUUGCUAGAAGUACAGUGACCAAAGUGAUGGCUUAGUGCCUCCCCAGCAAUUCAGCCCCACCACUUGCUGAUUAACCAAAAGCCCCUUGCCCAGUUGGAAGAGCCCAUCCAUGCUAGCUGAGGAUUGAAGAUUUUAUUUUGCUCUAGAGAAAGGAAAACUGCAGUGUGGUUUUAAAUCCUUUCACAGAGGAAGGGUAUAGAGCAGGUGGCCAAACAUGCUAAGGAGGACUUUGGACUCAGGCUAUGGCUGGUCUGAGACUGGGAGGUGUCAGGAAACACCUUGCAAAACACUGGGAGUAAGAGUGGACAGCAGCUCUGCAAUUUUCAUUUUCCUUUCGGCAGUAGCUAAUUAGUCUCUGUGUAGGGAACAGGUUCCCGGUGAAAAGCAAAGCCCUGCACUGGCUGUUACCAGGCAAUUAUUCAUUGCCAUUCAAGCAAUUAUUGCUGCCUCUGGGACAGCAGCUACUUUCUACUUUGAGAAACACCGGAGACAACUUUCCAUUAAGCAGUCACUCUUGUUUACAGGAAAAUGCACAAAUAAAUAAUAGAAAUAAUCUACCAA